UUUAUUUGAUUUCCUUCGGGACUGAUUAUUUUGUGACUGAGUGGCGGACGGGUGAGUAACGCGUGAGGAACCUGCCUCAUACAGGGGGAUAACAGUUAGAAAUGACUGCUAAUACCGCAUAAGACCACGGAGCCGCAUGGCUCCGUGGGAAAAACUCCGGUGGUAUAAGAUGGACCCGCGUCUGAUUAGUUAGUUGGUGGGGUAACGGCCUACCAAGGCGACGAUCAGUAGCCGGUCUGAGAGGAUGAACGGCCACACUGGAACUGAGACACGGUCCAGACUCC
rnacentral:rRNA from 1 species